rnacentral:rRNA from 1 species
GACGAACGCUGGCGGCGUGCUUAACACAUGCAAGUCGAACGGAAAGGCCCUGCUUUUGUGGGGUGCUCGAGUGGCGAACGGGUGAGUAACACGUGAGUAACCUGCCCUUGACUUUGGUAUAACUUCAGGAAACUGGGGCUAAUACCGGAUAGGAGCUCCUGCUGCAUGGUGGGGGUUGGAAAGUUUCGGCGGGUGGGGAUGGACUCGCGGCUUAUCAGCUUGUUGGUGGGGUAGUGGCUUACCAAGGCUUUGACGGGUAGGCGGCCUGAGAGGGUGACCGGCGACAUGGGGACUGAGAUACGGCGCAGACUCCUACGGGAGGCAGCAGUGGGGAAUAUUGUACAAUGGGAGGAAGCCUGAUGAAGCAACGCCGCGUGCGGGAUGACGGCCUUCGGGGUGUAAACCGCUGUAGCCUGUGACGAAGCGUGAGUGACGGUAAUGGGUAAAGAAGCACCGGCUAACUACGUG